rnacentral:lncRNA from 1 species
GUGUUGUCAAUUUUGCUGAUACAGAGUUUAAUUAAUUACAUAACAAUUAGUUGUUCUUGGGUGCACAGCUCCUGAUAGCAAGAGACAGAUAUCAUCGUCCUCUGAAAACAGUAUCAGAAUCGACCCUACAUCAGAUGUUAGUCUCUCUUCAGUACCCGCAUAACAUAGUUCCCGCUGAGCAGAGAGACCGAUGUGGGGCUCAAUCCCAGGACCCUGCGAUCAUGACCUGAGCCGAAGGCAGAGGCUUAACCCACUGAACCACUCAGGCGCCC